rnacentral:rRNA from 1 species
CCUACGGGAGGCAGCAGUGGGGGAUAUUGGACAAUGGGGGAAACCCUGAUCCAGCGACGCCGUGUGAGUGAAGAAGUAUUUCGGUAUGUAAAGCUCUAUCAGCAGGGAAGAAAGAAAUGACGGUACCUGAGUAAGAAGCCCCGGCUAACUACGUGCCAGCAGCCGCGGUAAUACGUAGGGGGCAAGCGUUAUCCGGAAUUACUGGGGGUAAAGGGAGCGUAGACGGUGAUGCAAGUCUGGAGUGAAAGGCGGGGGCCCAACCCCCGGACUGCUCUGGAAACUGUGUAACUUGAGUGCAGGAGAGGUAAGCGGAAUUCCUAGUGUAGCGGUGAAAUGCGUAGAUAUUAGGAGGAACACCAGUGGCGAAGGCGGCUUACUGGACCGUAACUGACGCUGAGGCACGAAAGCGUGGGGAUCGAACAGGAUUAGAUACCCCAGUAGUC